CCCUUAGAGUUUGAUCCUGGCUCAGGAUGAACGCUAGCUACAGGCUUAACACAUGCAAGUCGAGGGGCAGCAUUUUAGUUUGCUUGCAAACUAAAGAUGGCGACCGGCGCACGGGUGAGUAACACGUAUCCAACCUGCCGAUAACUCGGGGAUAGCCUUUCGAAAGAAAGAUUAAUAUCCGAUGGUAUAUUAAAACCGCAUGGUUUUACUAUUAAAGAAUUUCGGUUAUCGAUGGGGAUGCGUUCCAUUAGUUUGUUGGCGGGGUAACGGCCCACCAAGACUACGAUGGAUAGGGGUUCUGAGAGGAAGGUCCCCCACAUUGGAACUGAGACACGGUCCAAACUCCUACGGGAGGCAGCAGUGAGGAAUAUUGGUCAAUGGACGAGAGUCUGAACCAGCCAAGUAGCGUGAAGGAUGACUGCCCUAUGGGUUGUAAACUUCUUUUAUAUGGGAAUAAAGUAUUCCACGUGUGGGAUUUAGUAUGUACCAUAUGAAUAAGGAUCGGCAACUCUGGG
rnacentral:rRNA from 1 species